AUCUAGUUAGCUCAAUAUGAUAGAGCAUUGUGUGAUCACACACGAAGAUGUAGGUUCAAUUCCUACAUAGGCUA
rnacentral:tRNA from 1 species